GAUGAACGCUGGCGGCGUGCUUAACACAUGCAAGUCGAACGAAACACCUUAUUUGAUUUUCUUCGGAACUGAAGAUUUGGUGAUUGAGUGGCGGACGGGUGAGUAACGCGUGGGUAACCUGCCCUGUACAGGGGGAUAACAGUCAGAAAUGACUGCUAAUACCGCAUAAGACCACAGCACCGCAUGGUGCAGGGGUAAAAACUCCGGUGGUACAGGAUGGACCCGCGUCUGAUUAGCUGGUUGGUGAGGUAACGGCUCACCGAGGCGACGAUCAGUAGCCGGCUUGAGAGAGUGAACGGCAACAUUGGGACUGAGAAACGGCCCAAACUCCUACGGGAGGCAGGAGUGGGGAAUAUUGCAAAAUGGGGGAAACCCUGAUGCAGCGACGACGCGUGAGUGAAGAAGUAUGUCGGUAUGUAAAGCUCUAUCAGCAGGGAAGAAAAUGACGGUACCUGACGAAGAAGCCCCGGCUAACUACGUG
rnacentral:rRNA from 1 species